rnacentral:rRNA from 1 species
AACGAACGCUGGCGGCAGGCUUAACACAUGCAAGUCGAACGGGCCCUUCGGGGUCAGUGGCAGACGGGUGAGUAACACGUGGGAACGUGCCCUUCAGUUCGGAAUAACCCAGGGAAACUUGGGCUAAUACCGGAUACGCCCUUUUGGGGAAAGAUUUAUCGCUGAAGGAUCGGCCCGCGUCUGAUUAGCUAGUUGGUGGGGUAAAGGCUCACCAAGGCGACGAUCAGUAGCUGGUCUGAGAGGAUGAUCAGCCACACUGGGACUGAGACACGGCCCAGACUCCUACGGGAGGCAGCAGUGGGGAAUAUUGGACAAUGGGCGCAAGCCUGAUCCAGCCAUGCCGCGUGAGUGAUGAAGGCCUUAGGGUUGUAAAGCUCUUUCGGCGGGGACGAUAAUGACGGUACCCGCAGAAGAAGCCCCGGCUAACUUCGUGCCAGCCGCCGCCGUAAUAC